rnacentral:rRNA from 1 species
GAUGAACGCUGGCGGCGUGCCUAAUACAUGCAAGUCGAGCGAACGGACGAGAAGCUUGCUUUUCUGAUGUUAGCGGCGGACGGGUGAGUAACACGUGGAUAACCUACCUAUAAGACUGGGAUAACUUCGGGAAACCGGAGCUAAUACCGGAUAAUAUUUUGAACCGCAUGGUUCAAAAGUGAAAGACGGUCUUGCUGUCACUUAUAGAUGGAUCCGCGCUGCAUUAGCUAGUUGGUAAGGUAACGGCUUACCAAGGCAACGAUGCAUAGCCGACCUGAGAGGGUGAUCGGCCACACUGGAACUGAGACACGGUCCAGACUCCUACGGGAGGCAGCAGUAGGGAAUCUUCCGCAAUGGGCGAAAGCCUGACGGGGCAACGCCGCGUGAGUGAUGAAGGUCUUCGGAUCGUAAAACUCUGUUAUUAGGGAAGAACAUAUGUGUAAGUAACUGUGCACAUCUUGACGGUACCUAAUCAGAAAGCCACGGCUAACUACGU